rnacentral:lncRNA from 1 species
ACACCACUAUUUCCCCCAUUGAGCAAACUGGCCUGCGGGGGAGGGUGGCACACAGAGCAGCCUUGCCCAGCUCUCCCAGCAUAACACGCCCGGACCAAGGGGUCCACGGGGGCUAGGACUUGGACAUGCCUAGGAUUACACAAUACCACCUAGGGAGAAAGCACUUGUGAAAACAAACAUUCAGACAGUCCUUCCUUCUGGGUGUUAGAAAAGAGUAGUGCCACAUCUGGCUUGGCUGAAAAACACUUUACUGAUGUAGGAGCUGGCAUCAUAAGAUGAAGAUUAUAGAGGAAGUGUUGGUGUUGUACAAUUCAAUUUUGGCAAAGAAAAGUUUGGUGUCAAAAAUGGUGAUCAAAUUGCAUAGCUCAUUUGUGAACAGACUUUUUCUCCAGAAACAGAAAUUCAAGCUUUGGAUGACACUGAAAGGGGUUCAGGAGGUUUGGGUUCCACUGGAAAGAAUUA